rnacentral:rRNA from 1 species
AGUGAACGCUGGCGGUAGGCCUAACACAUGCAAGUCGAACGGCAGCACAGUAAGAGCUUGCUCUUACGGGUGGCGAGUGGCGGACGGGUGAGGAAUACAUCGGAAUCUACUUUUUCGUGGGGGAUAACGUAGGGAAACUUACGCUAAUACCGCAUACGACCUACGGGUGAAAGCAGGGGAUCUUCGGACCUUGCGCGAUUGAAUGAGCCGAUGUCGGAUUAGCUAGUUGGCGGGGUAAAGGCCCACCAAGGCGACGAUCCGUAGCUGGUCUGAGAGGAUGAUCAGCCACACUGGAACUGAGACACGGUCCAGAAUCCUACGGGAGGAAGAAGUGGGGAAUAUUGGACAAUGGGCGCAAGCCUGAUCCAGCCAUACCGCGUGGGUGAAGAAGGCCUUCGGGUUGUAAAGCCCUUUUGUUGGGAAAGAAAAGCAGCAGGUUAAUACCCCGCUGUUCUGACGGUACCAAAAGAAUAAGCACCGGCUAACUUCGUG